rnacentral:SRP_RNA from 1 species
AGGUGGACUAGGUUGGGCGGUUAGGCCUCGCUCGAUACCUGCAGUAUGGUCUUCAGCAGGGACUAAAACUCGGUCGCGUCUGGCCCGCCCAGCGUGGGCCCCGAGAGCCAACGUCGAAACCUCGUCUCACGAGGGCAGCGGUUCGCGUUCCAGCCUCUGCAGGGAGGCGUGGUCGCGAUUGAUCACAGGGAAUCCGUCAGGUACGGAAGUGAGCAGCGGGCCUGUGGACAGCUGUCGCCCGUGAGGUCGCGGGGCGGAGGAGGCAAUCGGGACUCCCCGCGCUGGAACGGCCAGGCAACGCCGGGGUCCACUU